rnacentral:rRNA from 1 species
UACGUAGGGAGCAAGCGUUGUCCGGAAUCAUUGGGCGUAAAGAGCUCGUAGGCGGUUUGUUGCGUCGGCUGUGAAAUCCCGAGGCUCAACCUCGGGUCUGCAGUCGAUACGAGCAAACUAGAGUGUUGCAGGGAGACUGGAAUUCCUGGUGUAGCGGUGAAAUGCGCAGAUAUCAGGAGGAACACCGGUGGCGAAGGCGGGUCUCUGGGCCGAAUACUGACGCUGGAGGAGCGAAAGCGUGGGAGCGAACAGG